UGGGGGCAGGAUAAACCAACAGCCCAGGUGGCCUUUGCCCGAGCCUUGUUGCCACCUCGAAGCCCACCGCUCCUCUGGCUGGAAGCACUUCUGUGAUUGCAAGGUCACUGAAAAAUCUGGCGAUGUUCCCAGCUGGAGCCGCUCCAAGAACCCUUCCUGCCCCUGGCGUAUUGUCCUGAAUUUCUGCAGCUUGUAGGAGAAGGUGGCUCCCGGUGGCCACAGCAACCCGGCCACACCCAGCAGACUCGGAAGGAAUGCAGCACACCUGCGCAGGAUCUCAGUUCCCAGAAUCCCCCCUGGGGAGGCAGCUAAUCUGCCCUAAAUCCUGGGCUCCCCUGCGGAUCUGCAUAAGGAAACCCUUUGUGAGGGAUGGCAGGCUUUGAAGGAGGCGGCAGGGGUCCUUCCUCCAGACAUCCCCAGCCAUGUAUCCAGAAGACCCACCUGCUGGGAGCCCAGGCUCCUUCAAACUGCAUCUACAUCAGUUUCCUGUUUCCUUCUGUCCUGGGAGACAGGACGUCCUGCCUGAGUCAGGAAUUACUCCAACUCCUUACAGGAGCGUGCUACCCUUCCAUGGAGUGACAUCUCUCGAGCACCUGCCAUGGAGGGCUUGUGCUAGGCUCCGUGCCUAGCAAUGAGAACACUCAACCCCCCGGGGCCAGGACAGCCUCCUGAGGAAGGUGGCUCCUGGGCUAUGCCCUAGGGCCAAGCAGGAGCCCCCGAGCAAUGGACGGGUGGGGUGGGGUGGGUCACACCACACUGAGCAAACAGCACGUGUACCAGCAGGGAAGCUUCUGGGAAGUGUGAGUGGUUCAGAAGGUGAGCCCACAGCACACAGGUGCUGGGAGGAGAGGCCAGGGGAGGGGGCAGCAGUGUGCUGGUGAGGGUUUCACAACCAGCCCUCUGCAAAAGGUAGUUCAUGCGUACAUGCGUGGGUCCGCGUACUCUCCAUUCUGCUGGUGCAAAGGGAGGGUAGCACGCAAUUUGCAAACAAUAAUAGACGGUACUUUUUACUGCAAAUUCCAUAGAGCCAAUGAAUGUACACAGAGCACUUUGGAUCCUUUUGCCAAAUUGUAUUGGUAGCCAACUUACGGUCGCGGUUCAAUUAUGAUUUGACGGUCUUUUGUGCUUUUCCCCAUGCAACCGUUACAAACAGCUCAUCUGCGUUAUUAAUAAUUUCUCCAUCACUUUCUUAAGUCUAGAUAAUCUACAAAAGUGUCAGUCCAGCCCUGACUGGUAGUGUUUCCUCGUGUCCGCUCUGCUCACUGUCCAGUCGUGGCUAAUCACAAGCUGCCCCCACGACAUCGCUGAACACAGAGCUGGGACAAGACGCGCGGCGGGGAAAGUGUCAGAAUUUCUGCCAUUUGGGUCCAACAGACACCAAUAACCACAGAACGCAGGUAACCCUGGGCUCCCAGAGCCAGUAUGAGCCAGCACCAGCCCACUCUGCAGGGAGAGGUGGAGAGCAGAGGCAGGGACGGCCAGUCCAAGGUACGUGGGAAAGGGGGCCAUGGAGGGCGCGGAUGUGAACGCGCCACCCCCAGCUGAACGGACCCCCUGAGCGAGUGUACUAUCUUACACCACAAAAGGAUUAAGGUAACAGAUGGAACUGAAGCUGUCAAUCAGCUGGCCUCAAAAUAGGGAGAUUGUUCUGGAUUACCCAGGGGGGCCCAAAGGAGUCAUGAGGAUCCUUCAGUAUGGCAGAGGGAGGCAGGAGAGAAGCUCAGAGUGAUGGGGGCACAGAGGUGGCCCCGCCGAUCUACUUUGAAGUGGAGGAAGGGCCACGAGCCAGGAAGGGGGGUGGCCUCUGGAAGCUGGACGUCUCCCCCCAGAGCCUCCCGGAGGAGCCUGCCCUGCAGACGCCUCCAUUCAGCCCAGUGAGGCUUGUGUCAGACUUCCAGCCUCCAGAAGCAUAAGGUGAUACAUUUGUGUUGUUUUAGACCACAAAGUUUGUGGAAACUUGUUACAGCUACCACGGGAGCCUAG